rnacentral:lncRNA from 1 species
GGGAAAUAACUACCCAGUCUGUGACUCCUCCUCAGCCCAAAAUUCUCUUUCUGUAAGUUGGGAAAACUCAGAGGAUCAGACUUGGCGACUCUGAGAACCCUGGCCAGGGAAAGCGCAACUUCCCCUGGGCGGGAACCCAGCCUUCCCCGUACUUCCUAGGGUGGCGAGGGCUAUUCAUUUCUGUUUUGCUAAAAUACCCGUGACAUGUGAAUAAACCAGGAUUACAGAACAUUGUCUCGGACAGUAGUCUGAGCCUGCACGGCCUCUGGUUUGAUGAAAUAUGGUGCUCUCUGAGCAAACAUGGGGAUUGGUAUUACUUCUCGUUAAAGCUGAACAGCGGGACUAUUUAGAACCCAUUCAUGACUGCAGCCCUGUGGGGAGUGACAAUUUGAAGGGAGCCGAUUUGGAGAAGGAGGUGGUGUGUGUGUGUGUGUGUGUGUGUGUGUGUGUGUGUGUGUUUGAGUUGGCUAGAGCCAGCUAAGAGGAGUCUGCUGGAGAGGCGGCCAAAUAGACACUUUGGAAAUCGCCACUCCUUUGGGAUUGUGCAGCCUCCUUACAACCCCCAAAUAAUGUUCCUCAAAGACUUUGAUGGUCUCUUUUGAGUGAGAGGGACAAAGUGGACAUCCCCUGGCUGGCAUUCAGGCUCUUGCCAUCUGUCCUGUUUGUCUUGGUUGAGACUUUCUCAGUCUCUUCCUGUCUGUCCUCUCCAGCCCCAGAAUUCAGAAGGACCACAUUGCUGCUCUCAGCUCCCUUCCCAGCUGCCAUCUUGCUGCUUUCAGGUGACUCCAGUGGAUGCUGCCACACACAUCUGAUGUCCCUCUGGCAUCCUAACUCUCAGGCUACUAACUACUAGGAGAUUGCUGUCUGCUGAGGGCCAGAAGCUGAGCCCCUCCUCAGGAAUGGUCAGUGAGCUGACAGAAGCCUCUUGCACAGUUUCUCUCUGUCUUUGUUUCUUCCCUCAGGGUCAGCCAAGUCCAACGGGCAGAUGCAGGUUGGGGAGCCCUAGACAGCUCUGGGUGGCAUCAUGCUCUUGGAGUAACAACUUUGACAGCUCUAUCACAUGAGGUUCCUCUUUCUGGCCAAUGCUGGGACACUACAGCGCUGGGCAGGCCAGCAAGACCCAGAGAUUCCCCUAUGGAACUGACUUAAGGAAAAGGGCACCAGAAGGCCCCAUGGCCACGUUAAUUACUAUCUCUGGCGUGAUGGGCCAAAUGGACUUAUGAU